UACGGAGGAUCCGAGCGUUAUCCGGAAUUAUUGGGUUUAAAGGGUGCGUAGGCGGCCAUUUAAGUCAGCGGUGAAAUUUUGCAGCUUAACUGUAACAGUGCCGUUGAUACUGUUUGGCUAGGAUUUGGUUGUAGUGUGCGGAAUGUGUGGUGUAGCGGUGAAAUGCUUAGAUAUCACACAGAACACCGAUUGCGAAGGCAGCACACUAAGUCAUUAUUGACGCUGAGGCACGAAAGCGUGGGGAUCAAACAGGAUUAGAUA
rnacentral:rRNA from 1 species